AUUGAACGCUGGCGGCGUGCUUAACACAUGCAAGUCGAUCGGUAACAGGUGUAGCAAUACAUGCUGACGAGAGGCGGACGGGUGAGGAAUAUUUGGGAAUCUGCCCAUCAGCGGGGGACAACCCGGGGAAACUCGGGCUAAUACCGCAUACGCUCUACGGAGGAAAGCCGGGGACCGCAAGGCCUGGCACUGAUGGAUGAGCCCAAAUCGGAUUAGCUAGUUGGCGGGGUAACGGCCCACCAAGGCGACGAUCCGUAGCUGGUCUGAGAGGACGAUCAGCCACACCGGAACUGAGACACGGUCCGGACUCCUACGGGAGGCAG
rnacentral:rRNA from 1 species